UGUUCCCUACGGGGCGCAGCAGGGAAUAUUGCACAAUGGGGGAAACCCUGAUGCAGCGACGCCGCGUGAAGGAAGACGGUUUUCGGAUUGUAAACUUCUUUUCUUAGUGAAGAAGCAAGUGACGGUAGCUAAGGAAUAAGCAUCGGCUAACUACGUGCCAGCAGCCGCGGUAAUACGUAGGAUGCGAGCGUUAUCCGGAAUUACUGGGUGUAAAGGGAGCGCAGGCGGGACUGCAAGUUGGAUGUGAAAUACCGCAGCUUAACUGCGGAGCUGCAUCCAAAACUGUAGUUCUUGAG
rnacentral:rRNA from 1 species